ACACGUACUUGAAGAGUAUUUGUCAAGUGAGCAUAAUGAAAAACAGAUAAAAUAUUGCCAUAGCAUUCUGGGACAAGGCUGAGUGUCGAUGUGUUAGAAUACAGAGUUUGUUUGAGGUAUUUGCUAAUGUCCUUAUGUGGGUCGUAUUGUGAACUAAUACGUGUUGGAAGAAAUAGGUUUACAUAACCAAUAGGUAAAGGGGCUACUGAAUAAUGUUAUCAUAAAAUAUAAUGACACGUUACCCUUGAAAUAAACAGCAGAAUGAUGACUUCAUUAUUUCAAUAUACAAACAUCUAAAUAAACUUACUUAUUAAUGUAUUCCAGUUGCGGAAUCCGAAAGUUACAAAGAGCAACAAGCAACAAUUCCAGGUUUUUGUAAAUCGCUGCCUUUGACACACCGUAAAGAUAUUAUUGCUCGAGAGUAUCUCCAAUCAGCAACUAAGGGAAAUAUACAAGAAUGUCCAAUUGACAGAACUAUAAAACACAUAAAAUAGAAUUGAACAAUCACCAGAUGGGGAUUCAAACCACAUUGCCAAGCAAGCUCUCAAAUGUGUGAAAGAAUGUGUUUAUACAAAAUAUAUAAUCAAAUUUAUUCAUAAAUAUAAACGGUUGAUCGAUUAAGUAAAUGUUAAGUAAACUAUCGUCUUAUUAUCGCAAGUUAACUUAAAAUAGGGUUUUUUUAUGUUUGAAUGUAAACUUAAUAAUUUCAAAUAAUAAAGCACCAAUAAAUACCAACUGUUCAACAUAAAAAUAGACGACAGUUUGGGCAGGGUGCAAUUGUAUAUUUAAAGAAAUCUUUCAAUUCAAAUAUCUAAUAACAAAUG